UGCAACCUACCUUAAUCAGGGGGAUAGCCCGAAGAAAUUCGGAUUAACACCGCAUAAAAACACAGGAUAGCAUUAUCCAAUGUUCAAAUAUUUAUAGGAUUAAGAUGGGCAUGCGUGUCAUUAGCUAGUUGGCGGGGUAACGGCCCACCAAGGCGACGAUGACUAGGGGAUCUGAGAGGAUGACCC
rnacentral:rRNA from 1 species